UACGUAGGGGGCUAGCGUUGUCCGGAUUUAUUGGGCGUAAAGAGCGUGUAGGCGGCCAGACAGGUCUGCUGUGAAAACUCGAGGCUCAACCUCGAGAUGUCGGCGGAAACCGUCUGGCUAGAGUCCGGAAGAGGAGAGUGGAAUUCCUGGUGUAGCGGUGAAAUGCGCAGAUAUCAGGAAGAACACCUAUGGCGAAGGCAGCUCUCUGGGACGGUACUGACGCUGAGGAGCGAAAGCGUGGGGAGCAAACAGG
rnacentral:rRNA from 1 species